rnacentral:rRNA from 1 species
CAGAAACUUAAAGGAAUUGACGGGGCCCGGCACAAGCGGUGGAGUAUGUGGUUUAAUUCGAUGCAACGCGAAGAACCUUACCUGGUCUUGACAUCCCGGAGACCCUUAGGAAACUAGGGGGUGCUUCCAUCUGGAAGAAUCUGGAGACAGGUGCUGCAUGGCUGUCGUCAGCUCGUGUCGUGAGAUGUUGGGUUAAGUCCCGCAACGAGCGCAACCCUUGCCUUUAGUUGCCAGCAGUUCGGCUGGGCACUCUAAAGGGACUGCCGGUGUUAAACCGGAGGAAGGUGGGGAUGACGUCAAGUCCUCAUGGCCUUUAUGACCAGGGCUACACACGUACUACAAUGGCCGAUACAAAGGGCAGCGACACUGCGAGGUGAAGCCAAUCCCGUAAAAUCGGUCUCAGUCCGGAUUGGAGUCUGCAACUCGACUCCAUGAAGUUGGAAUCGCUAGUAAUCGUGGAUCAGCAUGCCACGGUGAAUACGUUCCCGGGCCUU